UCCGGUUUGUCACCGGCGGUCUCCCUAGAGUUCCCACCAUUACGUGCUGGCAACUAGGGACAAGGGUUGCGCUCGUUGCGGGACUUAACCCAACAUCUCACGACACGAGCUGAUGACAGCCAUGCACCACCUGUGAACGCCCCCGAAGGACACCGCAUCUCUGCGGUUUUAGCGCCCAUGUCAAACCCAGGUAAGGUUCUUCGCGUUGCAUCGAAUUAAUCCGCAUGCUCCGCCGCUUGUGCGGGCCCCCGUCAAUUCCUUUGAGUUUUAGCCUUGCGGCCGUACUCCCCAGGCGGGGCGCUUAAUGCGUUAGCUGCGCCACCGAACAGUAUACUGCCCGACGGCUAGCACUCAUAGUUUACGGCGUGGACUAC
rnacentral:misc_RNA from 1 species